rnacentral:rRNA from 1 species
UACGGAGGGUGCAAGCGUUAUCCGGAUUCACUGGGUUUAAAGGGUGCGUAGGCGGGUAUGUAAGUCAGUGGUGAAAUCUUUGGGCUUAACCCGAAAACUGCCAUUGAUACUAUAUAUCUUGAAUAUUGUGGAGGCUAGCGGAAUAUGUCAUGUAGCGGUGAAAUGCUUAGAGAUGACAUAGAACACCUAUUGCGAAGGCAGCUGGCUACGCAUAUAUUGACGCUGAGGCACGAAAGCGUGGGGAUCAAACAGG